rnacentral:rRNA from 1 species
UACGGGGGGAGCAAGCGUUGUUCGGAUUUACUGGGCGUAAAGGGCGCGUAGGCGGCCACCGCAAGUCAGUUGUGAAAUCUCUGGGCUUAACCCGGAGCGGCCAAGUGAUACUGUCGUGCUAGAGUGCGGAAGGGGCUACUGGAAUUCUCGGUGUAGCGGUGAAAUGCGUAGAUAUCGAGAGGAACACCUGCGGCGAAGGCGGGUAGCUGGGCCGACACUGACGCUGAGGCGCGAAAGCCAGGGGAGCGAACGGG